rnacentral:rRNA from 1 species
GACGAACGCUGGCGGCGUGCUUAACACAUGCAAGUCGAACGGAAAGGCCCUGCUUUUGUGGGGUGCUCGAGUGGCGAACGGGUGAGUAACACGUGAGUAACCUGCCCUUGACUUUGGGAUAACUUCAGGAAACUGGGGCUAAUACCGGAUAGGAGCUCCUGCUGCAUGGUGGGGGUUGGAAAGUUUCGGCGGUUGGGGAUGGACUCGCGGCUUAUCAGCUUGUUGGUGGGGUAGUGGCUUACCAAGGCUUUGACGGGUAGCCGGCCUGAGAGGGUGACCGGCCACAUUGGGACUGGGAUACGGCCCAGACUCCUACGGGAGGAAGCAGUGGGGAAUAUUGCACAAUGGGCGGAAGCCUGAUGCAGCAACGCGGCGUGCGGGAUGACGGCCUUCGGGUUGUAAACCGCUUUCGCCUGUGACGAAGCGUGAGUGACGGUAAUGGGUAAAGAAGCACCGGCUAACUACGU